GUCCAUGUGGCGGAAUGGAAUACGCGUGCGACUCAGAAUCGCAUGGUUUAUACCGUAUGGGUUCAAGUCCCAUCAUGGACA
rnacentral:tRNA from 1 species